rnacentral:tRNA from 1 species
GCCGAAGUGGCGGAAUGGCAGACGCAGCGGAUUCAAAAUCCGCCGCCCUCUCGGGCGUGUCGGUUCGACUCCGACCUUCGGCA